rnacentral:lncRNA from 1 species
UAACAUCCAUGGAAACUUUAUGGCUAUAGAAGUUCGGUAUAUUACUGUAACAUACCAGAUUUUGGUAUAAAAAUAAAAAAAAAAUAGUGUGAGAAACUAUUUUUAUUGGAUUUAUAGAAGUAAAACAUAAGUCAGAAGUGACUUGUGCUGAAAUCAGAAUGAAAACAGAAGAUCUAGAAUUUUCUGUUGGAAACGGGACAGAUAAAUUAGCAGAAAAUAUACAGUCUCAGAAAAUUAUGAAAAUUGGAGGAUAAGUCAGAAAUAUUUUUAUGAUGCUAGAUUUAAAGUUUCAUAUUUUUCUGACACCCGUAGAGCGAGAAAUAAAAUCCGACAGCUAUCUGAUAAAGAUUACAAUUCGGUACAGUUUUCGGUGACCAAAUGGGGUCGAAACUGAAAACUUAAAAUAUAUUCUUACU